UGUAAAUUCUCAAGCACCAAGCAACUGCUUCCCCAGGAAAAUAGUUGCUUAUAGCUCGUUGUUGCUUUUUCCCUUCAUGUUACAUAUGAACACACAAUUGAAUAUUUGAGAGAUGCCUUGCUUCAUGUUACGUAGCUCUUUUUCACUUUUUGGACGGCUCUCUAUCUUUUCUAUUACUUUUGUCAUCAAAUUACAAGCUUUCCACAUUGAUUCCUUGUGUUUUCCAUCUUCUCCUUCCUAUAAAUCCGACGGUUCAACUGGAGUUAGCCCAUCAAGUUGGUUCUUCUACAAGAGAAAAACCAACCUUGAUAGGAAAUCAAUAGUUACUUGAGUCUCACCAGCAUGGCUACAGAUGCCUGCAGUAGUACAGCCAGCCAAAACUCGUCACAGAGAGUAUUAGCCAUGGUGUUUGCUCUAGCAUCAGCAGUGGUCCUGUCACCAUUGUAUGCUAAGAGAAAAAAUGAUCAUACGCGUUAUUUUAAUUAUGAGACAAAAUGGAGCUCUGGCUUCGUUCUUCCAAUGGUGCUUGCUGGACUCAUAAUUGCCAUCAGGACCACUUCCUCUUCCAUGUCAGCCCGAAGAGUUUCUAGGGCUUCCUUUAUUCCAUCUCCAGAUCCCUCUUGGGUGCUUAGAAUUGGGAGCUCAUCUUGGGGACUCGCUGGAGUCUUGGUGAUGCUUAUGCUUGUGCUAUCAUGGCAAGACUCUGUUCAAGAAUUCUUCUGGAGAUAAAGGAAAGGAAACCUACCUUUUUCUUUUAGUAUAGACUAUAUACGUUUGCGAUUUCCAUUGAUUGAUCAUAAAAAAAAAAAGAAAAAAAAAAGUAAUUGUUUGCCCCCACAUGUUGCCGAGCAUGAGGACGGCCAUUAAAGUACCUGGCUGGAAGAAUUAAAGGUAUCAUUUUAAAUUUUAUAUAUCAUAAAAAAGAAAUGCAUCAUCGUCCCCCUGACCCCUCACUCAUUCAAAGCAUGAAUGGCAUCGCAUGCAUCUCCAGAUCUCCUUCGAGUUAGGAUCCUCAAAAUCGGGCAGCUCGGCCCUAUUCAACUAUCUGAUGAACUAUUUGAUCAAAUAAUAGAACAGUUGUGAGGAUACUUGGGGUGAGCUUUUGAAUUACUUACAUUAUUCAAGUGAAAUUGGGUAAAGAAGUUUUUUAAAAAUAAAAUAAAAAAUGAAUUCAGAUAGUUAUAAGAUAAGCUGAUGGUACUGUGUUUGAAUCUUUUUUUUCCAUUUCAUGCUAAUAUUUUUUGUAUUUUUAUUCUUCAUCAAAUCUUAAUUACAUAAAUUAGGUAAAUUUCUAUUUGUUUUUGUAGUUGAAAAGUAUUAAUUUUUUAUUUAAAAUUAUUGUUUUUAGUUUUAUGUCGUUUUAAUAUAUCAAAAUGAUAUUUUAAAAAAUAAAAAAUAUUAUUUUAAUAUAUUUAUAAAUAAAAAAAAUACUAAAUAAGCUAAAAAUCUUUCUCCAAUUCAAAAUCAGUCGCUCUCUUCACUCUCUGCUUUUCUUUGCUCAUCCUAUCAACUUUUUAUUUCUUCUUUUUCUUCUUCUUUUUUUCAAUUUAUUACUGCAAAUUGAUUCGGAUAAUUAUUGCCCGGGUUCCCGGCCUCACCUACCCUUGUGGUCAUGACUCAGGCCAUCGCUCACACUCCUGCCAGCCGCCGGGUUUUACUAGAGUAAGCCAGAAAUAGGAACAAAAUCCCAUUGCCGAAGUCAAUAGCGGGGCCUGGUAUCUCUCUCCCGCCUGAGCAGGACACGUUGAUCAGUCCCAAUCUAUCAACUUGCUAUCCCACAGAAGCAACCUUCCCAGGCAGUAGAAGAAACAGAGGAUGAAGAAAGUGCUGGUCCCAACCCAUCUCAAGAACAGAAGACGGACCCCCCACAGCUUACUGGUCCCCAAAGAGUAUCUUUUCCUCUCAUCAAACGUCCCAAGUGAGAAUCUUAUCUUCUGCCAAUAUAGGAUUUCAGGAUAUUUUGUUGACCUGAGAAGAAUGGCCUUCUGUGGAAAGGAAUUAAGAUAGAAGAAGCAUCGAUCCAGAAGAAAGGAGGUGAAAAUCAUAGAAAAUUUGAGUUUUUUUAUUGGUGUACUUGAAUGCUGUGUAUUGGAGCAUUGUAAUCUUUAUGAAAAUUCACCCGCCAGGCAGUGUCUUUUCCUA